UCCAAUCUCAAUGUCGUCCACUCACAAAGGGAACUUUGAAGACUCUCGAUCAUAAGACUCGUGAAAUAGCUGAGUGGUUCAUACUUGAGAAUUCUCCUGAAAUUGAGCCUUAUUUAGAUGAACACCUACAAGAGAUUAAACAAAAAUACCCAGAUGGUGAUCAUGAUCGUUUGCAUAGGAAAAAUUUUCGUUCGUGGUUUCAUAAAAAGAUAUAUGACCUGCACAAGCUUGGGUCUUUGGAUAACGGUGAUGAACUGUUAGCUUUAGCAUCUGGGUCAGAUCAUUUGUCAACAUUUUACCAAGGUUGUAUAGUCAAUGGUGUUCGAUUUAUUGCACACGAUCGAGACAAAAAGCGCACCACACAGAAUAGUGGAGUGUCGGC